AGCAGGGGUGGCUGUCUCCUGAAUGUUAUUUCAAUUUUAUACUUACAUUUGGUUCAACUUCCUGUUCUCAGGGUGAAGAACUACCUAGUUUACGUUGCCCUAUGAUAGACUUCAAUCCCACCUGAGGUAAAUUUUCCUGCACUGCACCUGGAGUUGAUGGAAGACUCUCUGGAUCUAGAUGCUGACCUGUAACUGAAAACCAACAGUUCUGGCAGCUGGAACGGUUCCCCGGUCGAGGAGAGAAUGUGGUGUGUGACGGCUCUUCACUGCGUGUAAGAGAGUCUCGGUUCCUCAGGAGGAGAACAAGAAACAGCAGCAGGAUCUGGAGAUCUUGAACACUUUACAUCUUGCUGGCCUUCACAUGUCCUGAUUCAGCAAUUUAGAUUCUUUUUACAAUCACAAAUCAAGGUUUCUUGUGUAACUGAUUGUGUGUCAACUUCAGUCUGAUCCUCAGAAUUAUCCGAUUGUUUCAGAGCAACUCUCACUUUUAUAUAUAUUUUUACAUGAUGUAUUAAUCUAUUGUAGAUAUUUUAAUAUUAACAUUUUUAUUUUACAUCAUAGUGUGGUGAAAGUGGCACCAUUCACUUCUCUCUCAUAUAACAGUGUGUGCGUACGUGCAGUUGCAAUUAGCUUUUUUUCUAUGUUCCAGUACUGUGUAUAACACCCACAUUAUCUUCCUCUCCUGAUCCAGUGCGGAAGCUCGCUCUCGCUUGCUUUCUCUCUCUUCUUUUCCCUCUAUCUUUUUGCUCUUAAUACAGUAGAGGUGCAUGUAAAAUUGUAAAUUGGUUCAGCCUUUUAAAUAUACAUUUUCUUCCAUUUCUAUUUUGUUCCUCUGCACCAAGGGCAUGUCUCUCAGAGUCAAAUAAAUACAAUAUUAAAAGAUGAUUCUA